CGUACGGGUGCGGAACACGUGUGCACCUGCCUUUAUCUGGGGGAUAGCCUUUCGAAAGGAAGAUUAAUACCCCAUAAUAUAUUUUACGGCAUCGUGGAAUAUUGAAAACUCCGGUGGAUAGAGAUGGGCACGCGCAAGAUUAGAUAGUUGGUGAGGUAACGGCUCACCAAGUCAGUGAUCUUUAGGGGGCCUGAGAGGGUGAUCCCCCACACUGGUACUGAGACACGGACCAGACUCCUACGGGAGGCAGCAGUGAGGAAUAUUGGACAAUGGGUGAGAGCCUGAUCCAGCCAUCCCGCGUGAAGGACUAAGGCCCUAUGGGUUGUAAACUUCUUUUAUACUGGGAUAAACCUACUUACGUGUAAGUAGCUGAAGGUACAGUAUGAAUAAGCACCGGCUAACUCCGUGCCAGCAGCCGCGGUAAUACGGGA
rnacentral:rRNA from 1 species